UCUCUUUCAUCGUUCUUUAAUCUUUCUUCUCUUUCAUCUUUCAACGUUAGUUCUUCGUUAAAAAUCCGGUUUUAUAAAAUCGUGCGUUUGUGCGAAACUUGCCUUGGUUGUAAUUAUCGUAUGCAGUUUGUGCAUUUGUGCGUUUGUGCGUUAUUUUUGGGAGUGUUCCGGGAAGAUUAUCGUUAAUACAAUGGAAGAAGGUGGUUCUUCAACAAUGGACGAAGCUUAUGUUCAAACAUGGACGAAGAGAGAAAAGGCUAUAAAGGAGGCCGCUGGGCCUUUGAGACGGUGUAAGGCUUGCGAUGAGAUGGGGCUGUCACGAAUCUAGAAAUUGUCCAAUGCUUAAAGAGAUGGAGAAGGAGAAUGCACUGCGCAAGGGCAAAAGGAAAUGUUGAUGAUUUUUUGAAUAUCACGAAGCUCCUUCCCAUCUUAUUUUUAUUGUUCUUCGGAUUAGUCUUCGUUUGUUAUCCAUUAACUUAUUCUCAUUAGUCGUACAUUUUGGCACAUUAUAUGCAUUAAUAAAAAUGCAUUAUUAUUAUUAUGUUAUUAGUGCAUUAUUAGCUACAAGAACUUUAUUUUUUACGCAAUAUCACAUCUCUACCUGAUCGAUCAGUUA